rnacentral:rRNA from 1 species
UACGGAGGGUGCAAGCGUUAAUCGGAAUUACUGGGCGUAAAACGUGCGCAGGCGGUUUGUUAAGUCUGUUGUGAAAUCCCCGAGCUCAACUUGGGAAUUGCAAUGGAUACUGGCAGGCUGGAGUAUGGUAGAGGAAGGUGGAAUUCCCGGUGUAGCAGUGAAAUGCGUAGAGAUCGGGAGGAACACCAGUGGCGAAGGCGGCCUUCUGGACCAAUACUGACGCUCAUGCACGAAAGCGUGGGGAGCAAACAGG